rnacentral:rRNA from 1 species
GACGAACGCUGGCGGCGCGCCUAACACAUGCAAGUCGAACGAGCGAGAGAGAGCUUGCUUUCUCGAGCGAGUGGCGAACGGGUGAGUAACGCGUGAGGAACCUGCCUCAAAGAGGGGGACAACAGUUGGAAACGACUGCUAAUACCGCAUAAGCCCACGGCUCGGCAUCGAGCAGGGGGAAAAGGAGCAAUCCGCUUUGAGAUGGCCUCGCGUCCGAUUAGCUAGUUGGUGGGGUAACGGCCCACCAAGGCGACGAUCGGUAGCCGGACUGAGAGGUUGAACGGCCACAUUGGGACUGAGACACGGCCCAGACUCCUACGGGAGGCAGCAGUGGGGAAUAUUGCACAAUGGGGGAAACCCUGAUGCAGCGACGCCGCGUGGAGGAAGAAGGUCUUCGGAUUGUAAACUCCUGUUGUUGGGGAAGGUAAUGACGGUACCCAACAAGGAAGUGACGGCUAACUACGUG